rnacentral:rRNA from 1 species
UGGGGAAUAUUGCACAAUGGGCGCAAGCCUGAUGCAGCCAUGCCGCGUGUGUGAAGAAGGCCUUCGGGUUGUAAAGCACUUUCAGCGAGGAGGAAGGUGGUGAGCUUAAUACGCUCAUCAAUUGACGUUACUCGCAGAAGAAGCACCGGCUAACUCCGUGCCAGCAGCCGCGGUAAUACGGAGGGUGCAAGCGUUAAUCGGAAUUACUGGGCGUAAAGCGCACGCAGGCGGUUUGUUAAGUCAGAUGUGAAAUCCCCGGGCUCAACCUGGGAACUGCAUUUGAAACUGGCAAGCUAGAGUCUCGUAGAGGGGGGUAGAAUUCCAGGUGUAGCGGUGAAAUGCGUAGAGAUCUGGAGGAAUACCGGUGGCGAAGGCGGCCCCCUGGACGAAGACUGACGCUCAGGUGCGAAAGCGUGGGGCAGCAAACAGGAUUAGAUACCCUGGUAGUCCACGCUGUAAACGAUGUCGAUUUUGGAGGUUGUGCCCUUGAGGCGUGGCUUCCGGAGCUAACGCGUUAAAUCGACCGCCUGGGG